GAGUUUUUAUUUUUAUUUUAUAGUUUCGACAACGCCGGAAAAGCAAGUCGGGAACAAUCGAACGGCAACAAGGGCACAUUCGCAGCGAUGGAUUUCAUGAAACUAAGGCCAUGAUUCGCAUCGGAGAUAGUAUUGCAAAUCGACUGAUCGAAGUAGGAUCUGUGUCCAUGAAUUCGAAACCACCGAGAGAAAGAGAGAGAGAGAGAGCCGAGAUUGCCACGAACAGACACAAUGGGACCGAGAGCGAGAGUGAGAGCAAGCAAGACAGGCAAAUCGAAUCCCCGAUCGAUACCCUGGACGUGAUCUAUGCAUUUCGGCGCGAAGGAUCCAGAUACAUGCGCCGCCAUCGGGAUGCACUUGGAUCCCGAUGAGCGCCUUUCGUCUGGAAAUCGCCACUACCGCCCCACUAGCUUCGUCGAUUAGUGUGUGCAUCGACGCCGUCGUGCACAUCCACACACAAUCUAUGUUGUGUUGAGGUCCAGCACGUCGGCAUGCUGCAAUCGUUUCGAAAAAUAGGCGGUGGCUGUCUGUCAGUUUCUGAGGCUGGGGCUUGUGUUCUUACCUGUUGGAUUGGAGUGAAUCGAUGGUGAUGUGUUGGAUUGCGUAGGCCUGUCAUUGAUCUUGAUGCGGAUUGACGGGCCUGUGGCGGGCAGCCGUUUUGGAAGGGGAAUGGCGGAGUGUGCAAGAUCGUCGCCUGUAACGGAAGGGACCUGGAACGAAUCAGAGAUCCAGACAGACAGUCAUUGCAGCGGGAAAAGCGAUUCGUGUGUGAGUGGGACCGUCCACAAUGUCAUUCACAUAGCACGCAGCAAGGUUGCCAAGCUCAAGGGUCUGCCCGGAGGAAUUCCUGUUAUCAUUUUUGAUGAUGGAAUCUGCUGCUCCUCCCAUGCCUCAAUACUUUCACGCCGCUGAGGCCAUGGACAUGUUGACGAGGAAACCCUCGCCAACAACGUCUGCAGCAGGGGCGAGCCGAUAUUUCGUCCAACGCGCUACUGCAGCAGGUGGUAACCCUGGACUGAUUCGCACCGACAGGGAGCACUUGUCCGAGUUGGAGCGCAAGCUCAUGGAAGCCAGACAGCGGGUGAUGUGGACAUUGUGAUCCGUCUGUGUUUGUUGAAUUUAUCAGUAGUAAGGAGAAUCAAAUAACUCGAUUUAAUAUCUGGGUUGCUUCGAUGAUGGUCAGCAUAUCAUUGACCAAGUGGUUAUGGGAUUCGUUGCUGGUGGAACAGUUCCAAGACUUGAAGGAGGAGAAGUGCCACGCCAACUUGAAGGUGCGUUGUGGUUGCAUCGAUUGCUGACUGUGAAAAUGCCGACUUCCUUGGUAGGGUUGUGGAUGCUCGUGUUGCCCACAUGGAUAUGUGCGGGCUCGUGAUGAAAAAGCUACCAGCGUGUGAGUAAUACGUCAACUCUUUACAACUUCAUAGCAACUAAUCCGUGUUAGCCCCUUCCUCUUUGUAACGAAUCGCAACGAUUCUCUCGCUCACCCCCUGCAGAUUUGCAGCGGCCCGGACUCAAGAAGCUUCUCGGAGACGUCGAACCUCCCUGCGAAAAAAUCGGCCACUAGUCGGCAGCACCUGACGAGAUCGGUCAAAUCCAUUUCCACUUCUCAGGACACCACGGGCGCUGAGCACGGAUCCUUGCCCAAUUCCGAGGGGCUUCUCUUGGCUGUUGACAAAUUUCUUUCUAUGAAGUAAUCCAUCCCAGGCAUAACCGUAAACAACCCCCGCUUAUCAGUGGCCAUGUGCACAUUGGCUACCAGAACCUCGCAGCUGCCUCGUGCUACACCGGACAACGCCGAAGCUUACGAAUCAAUGGCAUCCGAAACCCAGAACGGCCAUCUUUCCGAAAUGCCUUCGACGUCUAGGAUUCCAAAUCCAGCCGGUGCUGUGUUUUGGAUUUGUAACGCCCCACUCGCAACCCUCCCUCGCCUCGCUCAGCUGCAGCUUUUCGUCGUCGCCGUCGACGUCCGUCGGUGUGCUCUGUCGGGAUGGGGACGGGGACGGGCACGGGCACCUAUUAUUGUGCACGGUAUUAGAAACUGUGACGUGAGAUAUUACCGUAUAUACGGAGUGUGUAUCCCCUCACAAUGCUUUCCCACUUUAUUUGUAAAAGAUUUUAAUGGGUUCUUUUGUUUUUUGUCUUUUUUGAAAAAUAAUAGAUUUGAAGACAGUUCUUAAUAUGUGCGAGUAAGGAGAUUAAAAUUUUCAAAAUCUACACCAUGCAUUAUGUUGCACAGUGUGGAAGACAAUGUUAUAUUUUGAAUUGUGGCG